rnacentral:rRNA from 1 species
UGGGAACCUUCCCUAUGGUUCGGAAUAGCCCAGGGAAACUUGGGGUAAUACCGAAUAAGCCCUUCGGGGGAAAGAUUUAUCGCCAUUGGAUGGGCCCGCGUCGGAUUAGCUAGUUGGUGAGGUAACGGCUCACCAAGGCAACGAUCCGUAGCUGGUCUGAGAGGAUGAUCAGCCACACUGGGACUGAGACACAGCCCAGACUCCUACGGGAGGCAG